rnacentral:tRNA from 1 species
UCCCUGGAGGACUAGUGGUUAGGCCACAGCGCUCUCACUGCCACAGCCCGGGUUUGAUUCCCGGCCAGGGAA